rnacentral:rRNA from 1 species
CCUACGGGAGGCAGCAGUGAGGAAUAUUGGUCAAUGGACGAGAGUCUGAACCAGCCAAGUAGCGUGAAGGAUGACUGCCCUAUGGGUUGUAAACUUCUUUUAUAUGGGAAUAAAACGUUCCACGUGUGGGAUUUUGUAUGUACCAUAUGAAUAAGGAUCGGCUAACUCCGUGCCAGCAGCCGCGGUAAUACGGAGGAUCCGAGCGUUAUCCGGAUUUAUUGGGUUUAAAGGGAGCGUAGGUGGAUUGUUAAGUCAGUUGUGAAAGUUUGCGGAUCAACCGGAAAAUUGCAGUUGAAACUGGCAGUCUUGAGUACAGUAGAGGUGGGCGGAAUUCGUGGUGUAGCGGUGAAAUGCUUAGAUAUCACGAAGAACUCCGAUUGCGAAGGCAGUUCACUGGACUGCAACUGACACUGAGGCUCGAAAGUGUGGGUAUCAAACAGGAUUAGAUACCCUGGUAGUC